GACGAACGCUGGCGGCGUGCUUAACACAUGCAAGUCGAACGGAAAGGCCCUGCUUUUGUGGGGUGCUCGAGUGGCGAACGGGUGAGUAACACGUGAGUAACCUGCCCUUGACUUUGGGAUAACUUCAGGAAACUGGGGCUAAUACCGGAUAGGAGCUCCUGCUGCAUGGUGGGGGUUGGAAAGUUUCGGCGGUUGGGGAUGGACUCGCGGCUUAUCAGCUUGUUGGUGGGGUAGUGGCUUACCAAGGCUUUGACGGGUAGCCGGCCUGAGAGGGUGACCGGCCACAUGGGGACUGAGAUACGGCCCAGACUCCUACGGGAGGCAGCAGUGGGGAGUAUUGCACAAUGGGCGGAAGCCUGAUGCAGCAACGCCGGGUGCGGGAUGACGGCCUUCGGGUUGUAAACCGCUUUCGCCUGUGACGAAGCGUGAGUGACGGUAAUGGGUAAAGAAGCACCGGCUAACUACGUG
rnacentral:rRNA from 1 species